rnacentral:lncRNA from 10 species
UCUAUUAACAGAGAUGAUUUUAAAAAUAUUUUUGGUAAUUAACUGGACCAUAAGAAAACAAUACUAAACAAGCCAAAUUACUCUUAGCUAAGGCUUGGAAAUCUGGAGAAAGAGGAAGAAGAGAAGGAGAGAGUCCUUAGAUUACUGGUAGAAGCAUGACCUACUAACUCUUCUUUUAGCACCCGUGGUGGUAAGGAAGUCCCGCCUAAGGACUUCUGCCUUGGCUAGGGAAUGUUCCAGUGUUGGGUUAUGAGCCUCCAUGGCAGAGCCACAGCACUGACUCUCUGACCAGCUGGAAUUUGCUGCAGAAUGGGUAGGGCUGAAAGGAGACCACUGUGAAUUAGAGUUAGAACAUCAAGACUGAUCUUUAUUUCACCCAGAGGCAGAGUGAUAAAAUGGCAUUCUUCUCUAUUUAAAUUCUAUCCCAUCUUUCUUCUUGUCCUUCCUCUCAAGGUUGCUGGCAGAGGUGGUUGGGGCUAUGUGCCUGGAGUGAAGAUUCUGCCCAUUGGUCAAGAGACCUCCCUCUCAGAUGCUGGCUCUGCCCCUGCCUUUGGGGGUCGACCCUUGUACUCGCAGGACCUUAGGUGACUCUAAAACUCGGGAAAUAUCAAAAACUUCCAAAAAAUAUAAAGAAUCAGAAAAAGCGGCCGGAUGCAGUGGCUUACACCUGUAAUACCAGCACUUUGGAAGGCCAAGGUGGGUGGAUCACCUGAGAUCAAGAAUUCGAAAACAGCCUGGCCAACGUGGCAAAACCCCCAUCUGUACCCAAAAUACAAAAAUUAGCCUGGCGUUGCAGCGGGCGCCUGUAAUCCCAGCUACUCAGGGAGGCUGAGGCAUGAGAAUUGCUUAAACCUGGGAGGCAGAGGUUGCAGUGAGCCGAGAUCGCACCACUGCACUCCAGCCAAGGUGACAGAGCAAGACCUCUUCUCAAAAAAGAAAAAGCACCCACAAUUCCAACUGAAAGUUAACUACAUUCUAUAUUUUGUCAUAAUUUGUUUUCCAUCACUUUUUGUAUUUACAUUUAUUUUACAUAUUUAAAUAAAUCCGUAUGUAUAGUUUUGUAUCCCACUUUUUUUGUUUUUUACUUAACAUUGUAACCGUUUUACUAUGUCACUAAAAACUAAAAAUUUUUGAUAGCUGUAUCAUAUUCUACUGUAUGGAUAUACUGUAAUUUACUUAACCAUUCUGUAAUGUUGCAUAAACUAUUUGUUUACAAUAUUUUUCUAUUAAAAAACAAC